CAGCUUGUUGCCAGUGAUGGAGUCUUAGUUGAAUUGAAUAUGCAUGAUUUCACUCAACAUAUCGUCACUACCACUGAGGCAACUGUAUG